UUGUGGGGAACGAGACUCACCUGAGCGACAGCGGGGUCCAGGUUGUUCAUGAUCAUUACCAUUAUAGCUGCUGCCUGGCGUGUGACGCAUGGAUACUGAUCUAUGGGAUAAGCCCUGGGGAGACAGCAUGUUUAUGGUUGGGGGUCCUGAUUGGUGCGUGUGGAACACCGGGAUCUCGCCCUGGGUUGGAUGGCAACGGAUCUAGAGGUAAACCGCUGCAGAUCUCCUUUAAAUCAGACAUUCUGUUGGAUUUUCCCUCUACAACAACGGUAGAACAGCAGACUGAGACGU